UCCAGACUCCUACGGGAGGCAGCAGUGGGGAAUAUUGCGCAAUGGGGGAAACCCUGACGCAGCAACGCCGCGUGAGUGAAGACGUAUCUCGGUAUGUAAAGCUCUAUCAGCGGGGAAGAAGGAAGACGGUACCCGACUAAGAAGCCCCGGCUAACUACGUGCCAGCAGCCGCGGUAAUACGUAGGGGGCAAGCGUUAUCCGGAUUUACUGGGUGUAAAGGGAGCGUAGACGGCUGUGCAAGCCAGAUGUGAAAGCCCGGGGCUCAACCCCGGGACUGCAUUUGGAACUGUGUGGCUGGAGUGUCGGAGAGGCAGGCGGAAUUCCUAGUGUAGCGGUGAAAUGCGUAGAUAUUAGGAGGAACACCAGUGGCGAAGGCGGCCUGCUGGGCUUUAACUGACGCUGAGGCUCGAAAGCGUGGGGAGCAAACAGGAUUAGAUACCCUCGUA
rnacentral:rRNA from 1 species